rnacentral:ncRNA from 1 species
ACUAAAGAAUUAACCUUAUAUAUAAAUAUUUGAAUAUCAAAUCGCUAUAUACAAUAAAAGUAAAUAUAAGUAAAAACCUUAAUAUAUUAUCAACUAAUCUUAAUAUUCUCAAACAGAUUUAAAUAAGAAUAUAUAGGGUUAUAUUUAAAAGAAGGUAAACUAUAUAUAUAUAUAAGAUAAAGCUAUAAGAAACUCUAAUAGAAACUUAUAGAAAUUCUAAUAUAUAAAUCAAUUGUUAAAUAUAUAUAUAAAAAUAAAGGCUUAAUGAAACUUUCUAGUAACUAGUUUUUAUUAAGCUUUCCCUUAAGACAAUAGUAUUAAAUUUAAUUUUAUAAAGUAAAGUGAAUAAUUAGAAACUUAGAAGUACUAUAUUACUUUUAUUUAUUCUUGAAUUUUAUAUAUAUAAGAAGCCUUUAUCAUUGAAUUAAAUGUAAAUAUUUAAAUAUAUUAAUAUUCAUAGGUUAUUUCUAGUAAGUAGAAUUAGUAAUAUAGGAUAAACUAAACGUAAGGUUAAAAUAUUAGAAUAGAUACUUAUUAGAUAUUAUAAAACAUAUUAGUGAAUUUUAAUAGUAGGAUAAUAGUUAUAAAAGUAAGAAUCUAUUAAAAGCUAUAUAAUAGCUUACCUACUAAAUAUACUAACUUUAGAAAUAAAUAGUAUUUCAAUAUCUCACUUAUAUCUUACUUUUAGUAUAGAAAUAAUAUACUAAAGAAUAAAUAGAUAUAGAAGUUAGUAAUAAAAUUUAAAAUAUAAAUUUAGAUAGAAUAGCUUUCAAUAUAAAUCUUAAUAGUAAUAGUAAAUACUUUAAUAAAAAUUUAAAAGAUUAAAAUAGGGAGAAAUUCUAUAUAAAUAGUAGUUAGAUAUAAACUAAUUAGUUUUAAGUUAUAAGGACAUUCUAUUUUAAAAAGGUAUUUAUAUUUUAUGUAAUAAAAGGGAAGCUAGUUAAUAUUCUAAUAUUUAGAAAUAAGUUUUAUAUAAUAAUAUAGUUAAAUAUAGAAAUAAUAAUAAAAGCUUUAGAUAGAAUUCUUUUUUCUUCUUAAUAAUUUACUAUUCUAGAAUUAGUUUAACUAGAACUAGGAUUUAAUAAUUAGAAAAACCUAGUAUUUCUAUUAAAUCUAGUAUAUUUUCAAUAUCUUUUAGGAAUCUAUAAGAAAGAAUAAUUUUCAUACUAGGUUGUAUUUAUAAUGGUAAUAGGUUUCUAAAUUAAAUAGCUUCUAGUU